AUUGAACGCUGGCGGCAGGCCUAACACAUGCAAGUCGAGCGGAUGAGGGGAGCUUGCUCCUGGAUUCAGCGGCGGGCGGGUGAGUAAUGCCUAGGAAUCUGCCUGGUAGUGGGGGAUAACGUCCGGAAACGGGCGCUAAUACCGCAUACGUCCUGAGGGAGAAAGUGGGGGAUCUUCGGACCUCACGCUAUCAGAUGAGCCUAGGUCGGAUUAGCUAGUUGGUGGGGUAAAGGCCUACCAAGGCGACGAUCCGUAACUGGUCUGAGAGGAUGAUCAGUCACACUGGAACUGAGACACGGUCCAGACUCCUACGGGAGGCAGCAGUGGGGAAUAUUGGACAAUGGGCGAAAGCCUGAUCCAGCCAUGCCGCGUGUGUGAAGAAGGUCUUCGGAUUGUAAAGCACUUUAAGUUGGGAGGAAGGGCAGUAAGUUAAUACCUUGCUGUUUGGACGUGACCAACAGAAUAAGCACCGGCUAACUUCGU
rnacentral:rRNA from 1 species